rnacentral:misc_RNA from 1 species
AUCAGAUCCAUGACACGCAAGAUUUCAGUGUUGGCGGGGGUCUUCAGUUCACGAUCGGUGACUAGCUCGACUCCGAGCAUCAGGCCUCUUCCCCUCACAUCUCCAAUGACAUCAUGUUUUUCCUGAAGGGCCAUGAGCCUUUCUUUCAAGUAGGACCCCACAACCAACGCAUUUUCUUGAAGCCUUUCUUUCUCAAGCACUCGAAGUACAGCAUGCGCACCAGCAGUACAGACAGGAUUACCUCCAAAUGUAUUAAAAUAGCUUCUACGAGUCAAGACUUGGGCGAUUUCUGGAGUCG